CCUACGUGAGGCAGCAGUGAGGAAUAUUGGUCAAUGGGCGCGAGCCUGAACCAGCCAAGUAGCGUGAAGGAUGACUGCCCUACGGGUUGUAAACUUCUUUUAUAAAGGAAUAAAGUGAGGCACGUGUGCCUUUUUGUAUGUACUUUAUGAAUAAGGAUCGGCUAACUCCGUGCCAGCAGCCGCGGUAAUACGGAGGAUCCGAGCGUUAUCCGGAUUUAUUGGGUUUAAAGGGAGCGUAGAUGGGUUGUUAAGUCAGUUGUGAAAGUUUGCGGCUCAACCGUAAAAUUGCAAUUGAUACUGGCAGUCUUGAGUACAGUUGAGGUAGGCGGAAUUCGUGGUGUAGCGGUGAAAUGCUUAGAGAUCACGAAGAACUCCGAUUGCGAAGGCAGCUUACUAAACUGCCACUGACAUUGAUGCUCGAAAGUGUGGGUAUCAAACAGGAUUAGAUACCCCAGCAGUC
rnacentral:rRNA from 1 species